CGACCCAGAAACAGGCAGCCACAUUGAAACAUGCGAGGCCAAUUACAACAACGAGAAAUCUCUGACCUAGCCAUUUGACAACAAGGGCUCAAGGCUCACCUGGCCUAACAAGAUUUCGACAGUGAGAAAGGCCAGAAGAUAAGGCCGGCUUCCAACAACGCAGACAUAGCCUCCGCGACCACAAAGACUCAACCAUUCUGAGAUGUGUUAGUGUUGUCUCUCUAGUCU
rnacentral:lncRNA from 1 species